UAAGGGGGGUACUUUUGAAUUAGAUGAUCAAUGGAGCAUAGAGGCGUGAGAAAGAAAUCAUAUUAGGAUGUGAAACCAGCUAGAGUAUGGUACAAUGUAACUUCAUGGCACAAGCGAAUUGUAAGGUCCAUUGUGCUUUUUAGCAAGUCAGUCAGAACGGAAGAG